ACCAGACUCCUACGGGAGGCAGCAGUGGGGGAUAUUGCACAAUGGGGGGAACCCUGAUGCAGCGACGCCGCGUGGGUGAAGAAGCGCCUCGGCGCGUAAAGCCCUGUCAGCAGGGAAGAAAAUGACGGUACCUGAAGAAGAAGCCCCGGCUAACUACGUGCCAGCAGCCGCGGUAAUACGUAGGGGGCAAGCGUUAUCCGGAGUUACUGGGUGUAAAGGGGGCGCAGACGGCGAUGCAAGCCAGGAGUGAAAGCCCGGGGCCCAACCCCGGGACUGCUCUUGGAACUGCGUGGCUGGAGUGCAGGAGGGGCAGGCGGAAUUCCUGGUGUAGCGGUGAAAUGCGUAGAUAUCAGGAGGAACACCGGUGGCGAAGGCGGCCUGCUGGACUGCAACUGACGUUGAGGCCCGAAAGCGUGGGGAGCAAACAGGAUUAGAUACCCUUGUACA
rnacentral:rRNA from 1 species